rnacentral:lncRNA from 10 species
GGCAGGACACGGAGGACCGGAGCGGCCUGUCCGAGGUUGUUGAGGCAUCUUCAUUAAGCUGGAGUACCAGGAUAAAAGGCUUCAUUGCGUGUUUUGCUAUAGGAAUUCUCUGCUCACUGCUGGGUACUGUUCUGCUGUGGGUGCCCAGGAAGGGACUACACCUCUUCGCAGUGUUUUAUACCUUUGGUAAUAUCGCAUCAAUUGGGAGUACCAUCUUCCUCAUGGGACCAGUGAAACAGCUGAAGCGAAUGUUUGAGCCUACUCGUUUGAUUGCAACUAUCAUGGUGCUGUGGCAUAACAAGGGACUUGCACUUAUCUUCUGCAUUUUGCAGUCUUUGGCAUUGACGUGGUACAGCCUUUCCUUCAUACCAUUUGCAAGGGAUGCUGUGAAGAAGUGUUUUGCCGUGUGUCUUGCAUAAUUCAUGGCCAGUUUUAUGAAGCUUUGGAAGGCACUAUGGACAGAAGCUGGUGGACAGUUUUGUAACUAUCUUCGAAACCUCUGUCUUACAGACAUGUGCCUUUUAUCUUGCAGCAAUGUGUUGCUUGUGAUUCGAACAUUUGAGGGUUACUUUUGGAAGCAACAAUACAUUCUCGAACCUGAAUGUCAGUAGCACAGGAUGAGAAGUGGGUUCUGUAUCUUGUGGAGUGGAAUCUUCCUCAUGUACCUGUUUCCUCUCUGGAUGUUGUCCCACUGAAUUCCCAUGAAUACAAACCUAUUCAGCAACAGCACAUAAGCCUUGGGUGCAAGUGAUUCCCAGGUGGCAAAAGGCAGCCCCAUCAGAGAUCACGGGAGCAACAGUAAGGGACAGAGUUUUGGGGUCCACUUGUCCCUCAGCAUGGAAGCCAUCACCGUGGUCCUGCAUAGAAGACAAGGUCUCACUAUGUUGCCCAUGCUGGUGUUGAAUUCCUCAAGUGAUCCUCCCGCCUUGGCCUUCUGAAGUGUUUAGAUUACAGGGGUGAGCCACCGUGCCUGGCCCCAAAAUAUUU